rnacentral:rRNA from 1 species
AUUGAACGCUGGCGGCAUGCCUUACACAUGCAAGUCGAACGGUAACAGGUCUUCGGAUGCUGACGAGUGGCGAACGGGUGAGUAAUACAUCGGAACGUGCCUAGUAGUGGGGGAUAACUACUCGAAAGAGUGGCUAAUACCGCAUGAGAUCUACGGAUGAAAACAGGGGAUCGCAAGACCUUGUGCUACUAGAGCGGCCGAUGGCAGAUUAGGUAGUUGGUGGGAUAAAAGCUUACCAAGCCGACGAUCUGUAGCUGGUCUGAGAGGACGAUCAGCCACACUGGGACUGAGACACGGCCCAGACUCCUACGGGAGGCAGCAGUGGGGAAUUUUGGACAAUGGGCGCAAGCCUGAUCCAGCAAUGCCGCGUGCAGGAUGAAGGCCUUCGGGUUGUAAACUGCUUUUGUACGGAAUGAAAAGCCCUGGGUUAAUACCCUGGGGUCAUGACGGUACCGUAAGAAUAAGCACCGGCUAACUACGUGCCAGCCGCCGCGGUAAGAC